GAAGGGUGCAAGCGUUACUCGGAAUUACUGGGCGUAAAGCGUGCGUAGGUGGUUCGUUAAGUCUGAUGUGAAAGCCCUGGGCUCAACCUGGGAAUGGCAUUGGAUACUGGCGACCUAGAGUGCGGUAGAGGGUAGCGGAAUUCCCGGUGUAGCAGUGAAAUGCGUAGAUAUCGGGAGGAACAUCCGUGGCGAAGGCGGCUACCUGGACCAGCACUGACACUGAGGCACGAAAGCGUGGGGAGCAAACAGGAUUAGAUACCCUGGUAGUCCACGCCCUAAACGAUGCGAACUGGAUGUUGGGUGCAACUUGGCACUCAGUAUCGAAGCUAACGCGUUAAGUUCGCCGCCUGGGAAGUACGGUCGCAAGACUGAA
rnacentral:rRNA from 1 species